CCCCUGGUAGUCCAGUGGCCAAGGAUCUGGGCUCCCAACUCCGGGGGUCCAGGUUUGAUCCCUGGUCAGGGAA
rnacentral:tRNA from 1 species